UUUCUAUAGUCUCCAGAACAAGCAGCUUUUCCUGAAGGGCUUUGUGUCGUCGGUUCAGGUCAUUGACAGGCCUAUCUGGACCGGCCGAUACCGGCACAUGCAGUGAUGGUUACUAUGAGGGCAAGCAGCUUUCUUCUGUCCCACACUUCUGGCAGGAUGUGUCUCCCAGCACAGUUCUAAAGGCGCUGAAUCCAGGAGACCAUGAAUGUAAUCUCUCAGGUCCUGGUAAAUGGAAAAGGAAAGAGUCAAGACCGUCAGUCUUGCUACAUCCAGUUCACAAACCUGUCCUUCAUCUCCCCAUAUACUGGCCAUUUUGCUGUUGCCUUGGAAACGACACACAAGUAUCAGAGAAGAGGAUGCAGAUAACAAGGUGGGCCUGUGUGGUGUGGGUGCUUGUGGGGAGGCUUUUGCCUGUAAAGAGAAGUGAAUAAGAGGUAAGUACUCCCAGAGAAGUGCCACCCAGACCCCCUGCACUCUUGCUUGCCGCUAGCCUGGUUCAAAGCCCCUGAUGUCCUGAGACAUGUUUAGAGGAGAGCAGAGAGCCCAGGGGCCUUUCCCUCAGCCUGUUCUGGCAUCGAGGCCCUCCCUUUCCUUUGUCAGGAGCCUGCUGCCUCUGUAAAUUGUGUCUGGGAGGAAAUGAGAUCCUCCUUCUACCAGGCCAUUUGCUGGCUUCCUGAACCGCUGAGAGUGCUGGGGGAGGAGGGCAUGAAUAUUUUAUAAAAGGCCAUAAAACAUAAUUUGUUCCUCUGAGUGAAUUAGAAACUGUAGUUAAAAAAAGAGAGAAGUUACCAUCCACCGGCCAGGAGUUUUGCAUUAUUUAACCCCGGCUAUUUCAUUAUA